GUGAGGAAUAUUGGUCAAUGGACGAGAGUCUGAACCAGCCAAGUAGCGUGAAGGAUGACUGCCCUAUGGGUUGUAAACUUCUUUUAUAAGGGAAUAAAGUGAGGGACGUGUCCCUUUUUGUAUGUACCUUAUGAAUAAGGAUCGGCUAACUCCGUGCCAGCAGCCGCGGUAAUACGGAGGAUCCGAGCGUGAUCCGGAUUUAUUGGGUUUAAAGGGAGCGUAGGUUGACAUAUAAGUCAGCUGUGAAAGUUUACGGCUCAACCGUGAAAUUGCAGUUGAUACUGUAUGUCUUGAGUGUACAAGAGGUGGGCGGAAUUCGUGGUGUAGCGGUGAAAUGCUUAGAUAUCACGAAGAACUCCAAUUGCGAAGGCAGCUCACUGGGGUACAACUGACACUGAGGCUCGAAAGUGUGGGUAUCAAACAGGAUUAGAAACCCCAGUAGUCC
rnacentral:rRNA from 1 species